rnacentral:rRNA from 1 species
CAGCUCUUCGAGUGGUGUCCAUGAUUAUUGAGCUUAAAGCGUUCGUAGCCGGUUCUGUAGGUCCCUGCUUAAAUCUGGCCGCUCAACGGUCAGCCUGGUAGGGAUACCGCAUUACUUGGGGACGGGAGACGGCAACGGUAUUCCGUAGGUAAGGGUGAAAUCUAAUGAUCUACGGAGGACCACCAGUGGCGAAGGCGGUUGUCGAGAACGUGCCCGACGGUGAGGGACGAAACCCAGGGGAGCAAAUCGGAUUAGAUACCCGAGUAGUCC